rnacentral:rRNA from 1 species
GACGACCGCUGGCGGCGUGCUUAACACCUGCAAGUCGAACGCUGAAAGCGGAGCUUGCUCCGCUGGAUCAGCGUCGAACGGGUCAGUCACACGUUGGCAACCUGCCCCUGACUUCGGGAUAACUCCUCGAAAGAGGUGCUAAUACUGGCUACGCCUCCUGCAGGCAUCUGCGGGGUUGGUAAGUUUGUCGCGCAGGGAUGGGCCCGCGGCCUAUCAGCUUGUUGGUGAGGUAGUGGCUCACCAAGGCGACGACGGGUAGCCGGCCUGAGAGGGCGACCGGCCACACUGGGACUGAGACACGGCCCAGACUCCUACGGGAGGCAGCAGUGGGGAAUAUUGCGCAAUGGGCGAAAGCCUGACGCAGCAACGCCGCGUGAGGGAUGACGGCCUUCGGGUUGUAAACCUCUUUCAGCAGGGAAGAAUCGAAAGUGACGGUACCUGCAGAAGAAGCACCGGCUAACUACGUGCCAGCCGCCGCGGUAA